AUGAACGCUGGCGGCGUGCCUAACACAUGCAAGUCGAACGAAGCACCUUACCUGAUUCUUCGGAUGAAAGUUUGGUGACUGAGUGGCGGACGGGUGAGUAACGCGUGGGUAACCUGCCCUGUACAGGGGGAUAACAGCUGGAAACAGCUGCUAAUACCGCAUAAGCGCACGAGGAGACAUCUCCUUGUGUGAAAAACUCCGGUGGUACAGGAUGGGCCCGCGUCUGAUUAGCUGGUUGGCAGGGUAACGGCCUACCAAGGCAACGAUCAGUAGCCGGUCUGAGAGGAUGAACGGCCACAUUGGAACUGAGACACGGUCCAAACUCCUACGGGAGGCAGCAGUGGGGAAUAUUGCACAAUGGGGGAAACCCUGAUGCAGCAACGCCGCGUGAGUGAAGAAGUAUUUCGGUAUGUAAAGCUCUAUCAGCAGGGAAGAUAAUGACGGUACCUGACUAAGAAGCUCCGGCUAAAUACGUG
rnacentral:rRNA from 1 species